ACAAACAUUCGAAGAUAGGGAAUGUUAUCUUCUUCAGAUGAAGUGUAUGAUGACAGUAUCAGUUGAAAUUAUGUUCUAUUGAGCGUGACUUAUAAGUUCGGUUUGGGAAAAUGAGCCAAAAUUGAAAGAAACGACGGUAAACAACUUUGCGUCAAGACAUCACUAGUCGAUUGGAGUGUAUACACGUGAGCACAGUGAGUCAGUAAAACAAUACGCCAGGAUCGUAUGGGCUUCUCUUAUAUCUUCUCUUUAAGUUUCCAGGGACCUUAAGAUCCGAGGACGGCGGAUGUCUACGACGGCGAGCGGAAGUUUGAAUGCGUGUUUACUCACUUCCGGUAGCCGUUCCCCGUAAAUUCCCGCCGUAGCUGUGUUGUCUGCGACGUCAAAACAACCAGUUUGCCGUUUCUUACAAAACGUCGUGGCUGCAGCCGACAAGACUUCUAAGAAGAUUGCUCAAACCAACAUGGAGUGGACUGAACAAUAUGACAAUAUUCUUUGUCAGGAGAUUCUCGUUCUUGAACCAUUCAAGGCAAAGAUAAAAAUAGCGAACAAUCUGAACAGCCUUCAACAUCCCCAGUUCAGAGUGACGAAGCAAUCUGUCUGUUGAGUGACAAAUUUAGAGCAAAGAUGCGAGACGAAGAAAAGGCAAGAGGAAUCGAUACAGAUUUGAGUGACGUUGAAAAAGCACCGGAGGAGAUAGAAAAAGAAGCUGUGGUUGAAGAAACAGCGCAAAAUAACAAAAAGAAAUUCAAUAGUGAUAAAGCAGCGGAAAUGAGAUACAGAACCUUGGCAGGACACAGAAAAGACAAAGGAAAGAUGAGAUAGAGAAUGAAACAGCGGUGGUGACACGGUGGCAUAUUUGCGAGAAAAGAACGACCUCAUGCAGAAGUGGAAAAUGGAAGA